CCACUACCUAGCCCACCCAACCCCCAAACCACCGUCACACCCACAAACAAACCAUUUGCCAAGCCAAGUAUAUGAGAUAGAACCGCACCAAGGAGCAAUAGUCACAAGUACCGCAAGGGAACAAUGAAAUAUAAAUGAAACCCCAAAGCACAAAAUAGCAGGGACCUGCCCCCGUACCUCUUGCAUCAUGGUUUAGCCAGCAACAGACAAAUAAAGCGCCCUACACCUGUCACCCCGAACCCGGACGAGCUACUCACGGGCAAUCUUAAAACUAACGGAUGAACCCAUCUCUGUGGCAAAAGAGUGGGAUGACCCUUGAGUAGUAGCGAAACGCCAACCGCGCCCGGAGAUAGCUGGUUGCUCAAAUAAAUGAAUAAAAGUUCAACACCAGCCCAAACCACCACGCCCCACACCACUAAGCCUGCCUGACCCUAGCUGGUAGAUAAUCAACAGGGGUACAGCCCUGUUGAACCUGGACACAACCAACACUAGAGGACACCCCACCCCACCCCGCGCCCAGUUGGCCCUAAAGCAGCCACCAAAAAAUAUAGCGUCAAAGCAAAACUCAAAUAAAAUACCACACCACACCAACACCCCCUAAAUCACAAACUGAGCCACUCUACUCACUAACACUAGAGGAGAAACUGCUAAAACUAGUAACUUAGCCCGAGGCCCCCCUCAACCACGGCACACCCCUACAUACUAAUUAUUAUCGGACCAGUAAGCCACCCCAGAAACACACCUUACCCAAACACCCGUCACCCCAACCCAGGCGUGCCGCCCCCACAGAGCAACAGCCAUAAAAGGAACUCGGCUAACUCACCCCACCUGUUUACCAAAAACAUCGCCUUUAGCCACACAAGUAUUAAAGGUCCCGCCUGCCCAGUGAACCAGUUUUCAACGGCCGCGGUAUUCUAACCGUGCAAAGGUAGCGUAAUCACUUGUCCUCCAAAUAAGGACCAGUAUGAAUGGCUAAAUGAGGGUGAAACUGUCUUAUAUGGCUACCCAGUGAAACUGAUCCCCUAGUACAAAAGCUAGGAUAUCCCCACAAGACGAGAAGACCCUGUGGAGCUUACAACCCCGCGCACUAACAUCAGGCACCAACACCUACGGGUAAACAAAAGUCUACUAAUAGGCCACAGUUUAAGUUGGGGCAACUGCGGAGCACAAAACAACCUCCGUGCACCAGGGCAUCCAGCCCCUUAAAGAGGGACACCUCAAAAAGCCUAAAACUGACCCAGUAAUACUGACAACCGAACCAAGUUACCCCAGGGAUAACAGCGCUAUCCUCUCCAAGAGUCCAUAUCGCCAAGAGGGUUUACGACCUCGAUGUUGGAUCAGGACCUCCUAGUGGUGCAGCCGCUACUAAAGGCCCGUUUGUUCAACGGCUAACGUCCUACGUGAUCUGAGUUCAGACCGGAGAAAUCCAGGUCGGUUUCUAUCUGUGCCAAAUCUUCUUUAGUACGAAAGGACCAAGAAGACAGUACCACUGCCACAAGCACGCACUGCCAAAAAGCCUGAAAACAACUAAAAAUCUUAUAACCCCCAAACCACGCCCCUAGACCAGGGGCAAACUUG
rnacentral:rRNA from 1 species